rnacentral:rRNA from 1 species
UCCUACGGGGGGCUGCAGUGGGGAAUAUUGGACAAUGGGGGGAACCCUGAUCCAGCCAUGCCGCGUGUGUGAAGAAGGCCUUUUGGUUGUAAAGCACUUUAAGCGAGGAGGAGGCUUACCUGGUUAAUACCUGGGAUAAGUGGACGUUACUCGCAGAAUAAGCACCGGCUAACUCUGUGCCAGCAGCCGCGGUAAUACAGAGGGUGCGAGCGUUAAUCGGAUUUACUGGGCGUAAAGCGCGCGUAGGUGGUUAAUUAAGUCAAAUGUGAAAUCCCCGAGCUUAACUUGGGAAUUGCAUUCGAUACUGGUUAGCUAGAGUAUGGGAGAGGAUGGUAGAAUUCCAGGUGUAGCGGUGAAAUGCGUAGAGAUCUGGAGGAAUACCGAUGGCGAAGGCAGCCAUCUGGCCUAAUACUGACACUGAGGUGCGAAAGCAUGGGGAGCAAACAGGAUUAGAUACCCUAGUAGUCCG